UAAUACAUGCAAGUCGAACGCUUUUUCUUUCACCGGAGCUUGCUCCACCGAAAGAAAAAGAGUGGCGAACGGGUGAGUAACACGUGGGUAACCUGCCCAUCAGAAGGGGAUAACACUUGGAAACAGGUGCUAAUACCGUAUAACACUAUUUUCCGCAUGGAAGAAAGUUGAAAGGCGCUUUUGCGUCACUGAUGGAUGGACCCGCGGUGCAUUAGCUAGUUGGUGAGGUAACGGCUCACCAAGGCAACGAUGCAUAGCCGACCUGAGAGGGUGAUCGGCCACACUGGGACUGAGACACGGCCCAGACUCCUACGGGAGGCAGCAGUAGGGAAUCUUCGGCAAUGGACGAAAGUCUGACCGAGCAACGCCGCGUGAGUGAAGAAGGUUUUCGGAUCGUAAAACUCUGUUGUUAGAGAAGAACAAGGAUGAGAGUAAAACGUUCAUCCCUUGACGGUAUCUAACCAGAAAGCCACGGCUAACUACGUGCCAGCAGCCGCGGUAAUACGUAGGUGGCAAGCGUUGUCCGGAUUUAUUGGGCGUAAAGCGAGCGCAGGCGGUUUCUUAAGUCUGAUGUGAAAGCCCCCGGCUCAACCGGGGAGGGUCAUUGGAAACUGGGAGACUUGAGUGCAGAAGAGGAGAGUGGAAUUCCAUGUGUAGCGGUGAAAUGCGUAGAUAUAUGGAGGAACACCAGUGGCGAAGGCGGCUCUCUGGUCUGUAACUGACGCUGAGGCUCGAAAGCGUGCGGAGCGAACAGGAUUAGAUAC
rnacentral:rRNA from 1 species